AGAUUGAAUGGUAAAACG
rnacentral:tRNA from 1 species